GCUCGAGUGGCGAACGGGUGAGUAACACGUGAGUAACCUGCCCUUGACUUUGGGAUAACUUCGGGAAACUGGGGCUAAUACCGGAUAGGAGCUCCUGCUGCAUGGUGGGGGUUGGAAAGUUUCGGCGGUUGGGGAUGGACUCGCGGCUUAUCAGCUUGUUGGUGGGGUAGUGGCUUACCAAGGCUUUGACGGGUAGCCGGCCUGAGAGGGUGACCGGCCACAUUGGGACUGAGAUACGGCCCAG
rnacentral:rRNA from 1 species